rnacentral:lncRNA from 1 species
UCCGAUUUCUUUCCUGCGCUAUCGAUUUGCUCAGGGAAAGAAGAAAAUCAUCAUCAUAGCCUCAGAAUUUUUGCAACAAUUAUUAUUAUUAUCAUUACUACUACUAUUGAUUCUCACUUUGGGGUUGAGAAUUUCGAGAGAACAAGCAAAGAUUUAGGGGUCAUUUGGUAGUUGUUCAACUGAAAAGGGCUGUUGAAUUUAUAUUUUUUCACAGCAAAAAUUGAAAUCACAGGUAUUGCAAAGAGGAGCAACAGCCCUUUGAAGUGUUCCCCUCUGCUCUCUGCAAUCCUCAUUAUUUGUCUCUGAGCUAAGCUUUUUUCCUUUAACGGACAAACUCGCAGACGCAACAACAAUAACAACAACAACAAAACCCAGUGUAAUCUCACUCCAAAGAUUGUUUCAGACACACUUUCAGCAAAUGAAACAAUGAGGCUCAGAUCUGUAGUACUUACAACACGGCAAGAGAGACUGGAAUCACCGCCAUGGCUGCAAGCACCAGUUCUGAUAUACUUCCAUCCGGGUUGCCUCGCCAAGAUACGGGUCCAAUUGCUCUCCCGCAUUGUCCAUUUGCUCAGAGAAAGAAGAAAAUCAUCAUCACAGCCUCAUAAUUUUCCCAUCAAUUAUUACUACUACUACUACUAUUGAUUAUCCCUUUGGAUUUGAGAAAUUGGAGAGAACAAGCAUAUUGCUGUUUAACAGCAAAAGGGCUAGUAAAGAUUCUUUUUUUCACAGCAAAAAUGAAAUCACAG